rnacentral:rRNA from 1 species
GAUGAACGCUGGCGGCGUGCUUAACACAUGCAAGUCGAACGGAAAGGCUCCUGCUUGCAGGGGUACUCGAGUGGCGAACGGGUGAGUAACACGUGGGUGAUCUGCCCUGCACUUCGGGAUAAGCCUGGGAAACUGGGUCUAAUACCGGAUAGGACCACAUUUUGGAUGGUGUGGUGGAAAGUUUUUCGGUGUGGGAUGAGCUCGCGGCCUAUCAGCUUGUUGGUGGGGUAAUGGCCUACCAAGGCGUCGACGGGUAGCCGGCCUGAGAGGGUGUACGGCCACAUUGGGACUGAGAUACGGCCCAGACUCCUACGGGAGGCAGCAGUGGGGAAUAUUGCACAAUGGGCGCAAGCCUGAGGCAGCGACGCCGCGUGGGGGAUGACGGCCUUCGGGUUGUAAACUCCUGUCGCUAGGGACGAAGCGUUUUUGUGACGGUACCUGGAGAAGAAGCACCGGCUAACUACGUG